rnacentral:rRNA from 1 species
GCAGUCGAGCGGAGACGACAUAACUGAACCUUCGGGGAACGUUAAGGGCGUCGAGCGGCGGACGGGUGAGUAAUGCCUAGGAAAUUGCCCUGAUGUGGGGGAUAACCAUUGGAAACGAUGGCUAAUACCGCAUGAUGCCUACGGGCCAAAGAGGGGGACCUUCGGGCCUCUCGCGUCAGGAUAUGCCUAGGUGGGAUUAGCUAGUUGGUGAGGUAAUGGCUCACCAAGGCGACGAUCCCUAGCUGGUCUGAGAGGAUGAUCAGCCACACUGGAACUGAGACACGGUCCAGACUCCUACGGGAGGCAGCAGUGGGGAAUAUUGCACAAUGGGCGCAAGCCUGAUGCAGCCAUGCCGCGUGUGUGAAGAAGGCCUUCGGGUUGUAAAGCACUUUCAGUCGUGAGGAAGGUGGUAGUGUUAAUAGCACUAUCAUUUGACGUUAGCGACAGAAGAAGCACCGGCUAACUCCGUGCCAGCAGCCGCGGUAAUACGGAGGGUGCGAGCGUUAAUCGGAAUUACUGGGCGUAAAGCGCAUGCAGGUGGUUUGUUAAGUCAGAUGUGAAAGCCCGGGGCUCAACCUCGGAAUAGCAUUUGAAACUGGCAGACUAGAGUACUGUAGAGGGGGGUAGAAUUUCAGGUGUAGCGGUGAAAUGCGUAGAGAUCUGAAGGAAUACCGGUGGCGAAGGCGGCCCCCUGGACAGAUACUGACACUCAGAUGCGAAAGCGUGGGGAGCAAACAGGAUUAGAUACCCUGGUAGUCCACGCCGUAAACGAUGUCUACUUGGAGGUUGUGGCCUUGAGCCGUGGCUUUCGGAGCUAACGCGUUAAGUAGACCGCCUGGGGAGUACGGUCGCAAGAUUAAAACUCAAAUGAAUUGACGGGGGCGCGCACAAGCGGUGUAGCAUGUGGUUUAAUUCGAUGCAACGCGAAGAACCUUACCUACUCUUGACAUCCAGAGAACUUUUCAGAGAUGGAUUGUGCCUUCGGGAACUCUGAGACAGGUGCUGCAUGGCCUGUCGUCAGCUCGUGUUGUGAAAUGUUGGGGUUAAGUUCCC